AGAGUUUGAUCCUGGCUCAGGACGAACGCUGGCGGCGUGCCUAAUACAUGCAAGUCGAACGAACCGCGACUGAGUGCUUGCACUUGGUCAAGGUGAGUGGCGAACGGGUGAGUAACACGUGGGUAACCUACCUCUUAGCAGGGGAUAACAUUUGGAAACAAGUGCUAAUACCGUAUAACACUAACAACCGCAUGGUUGUUAGUUGAAAGAUGGUUCUGCUAUCACUAAGAGAUGGACCCGCGGUGCAUUAGCUAGUUGGUAAGGUAAUGGCUUACCAAGGCGAUGAUGCGUAGCCGAGUUGAGAGACUGAUCGGCCACAAUGGGACUGAGACACGGCCCAUACUCCUACGGGAGGCAGCAGUAGGGAAUCUUCCACAAUGGGCGCAAGCCUGAUGGAGCAACGCCGCGUGUGUGAUGAAGGGUUUCGGCUCGUAAAACACUGUUAUAAGAGAAGAACGACAUUGAGAGUAACUGUUCAGUGUGUGACGGUAUCUUAUCAGAAAGGAACGGCUAAAUACGUGCCAGCAGCCGCGGUAAUACGUAUGUUCCAAGCGUUAUCCGGAUUUAUUGGGCGUAAAGCGAGCGCAGACGGUUAUUUAAGUCUGAAGUGAAAGCCCUCAGCUCAACUGAGGAAGGGCUUUGGAAACUGGAUAACUUGAGUGCAGUAGAGGAAAGUGGAACUCCAUGUGUAGCGGUGAAAUGCGUAGAUAUAUGGAAGAACACCGGUGGCGAAAGCGGCUUUCUGGACUGUAACUGACGUUGAGGCUCGAAAGCGUGGGUAGCAAACAGGAUUAGAUACCCUGGUAGUCCACACCGUAAACGAUGAUUACUAGGUGUUGGAGGAUUGACC
rnacentral:rRNA from 1 species